GAUGAACGCUGGCGGCGUGCCUAAUACAUGCAAGUCGAGCGAACAGACGAGGAGCUUGCUCCUCUGACGUUAUCGGCGGACGGGUGAGUAACACGUGGAUAACCUACCUAUAAGACUGGGAUAACUUCGGGAAACCGGAGCUAAUACCGGAUAAUAUAUUGAACCGCAUUGUUCAAUAGUUAAAGACGGUUUUUCUUUCACUUAUAGAUGGAUCCGCCCCGCAUUAGCUAGUUGGUAAGGUAACGGCUUACCAAGGCAACGAUGGGUAGCCGACCUGAGAGGGUGAACGGACACACUGGAAGUGAGAAACGGUCCAGACUCCUACGGGAGGAAGCAGUAGGGAAUCUUCCGCAAUGGGGGAAAGCUUGACGGAGCAACGCCGCGUGAGUGAUGAAGGUCUUAGGAUCGUAAAACUCUGUUAUUAGGGAAGAACAAAUGUGUAAGUAACUAUGCACGUCUUGACGGUACCUAAUCAGAAAGCCACGGCUAACUACGUG
rnacentral:rRNA from 1 species